UGGGGAAUAGCUCAGUGGUAGAGUGCAUGUUUGGCAUGCACGAGGUCCUGGGUUCAAUCCUCAGUACCUCCA
rnacentral:tRNA from 1 species